CUCUAAUCUCUGAUCUUUGCCUAAGGUCAAGUUAAACAUCUGUUCUUAUCAGUUAAAUAUCUUUUACUUGCUUGACUUGAAGAUGUCAUGUUAAACAGGUUUUUGAGACCGAAAGAUGGGUUAGAACUUUUUCUGUCUAUCCUAUGCAUCUGCCUAUUACUGUAAUGUCUCCAGAAGCAGCACAU
rnacentral:snRNA from 1 species